GUGAGCCUCUCCCUCAAAAUGUUUGGAAGAUGAUCGCAAAGUUAAGUGUAUUUUUCAAGAACUUAACAUCUCGAGUAAUAAUAAAAAUGGAUGGUAUGUGCAUGUUCAGUUAUAAGAAACCAACAUUUUUUGUAAUCUUAAGCGUAUCUUCUUACUUACUUUCUUUGACUUAAUGAAGCAUCUCUCAUUGGCCAAUGUCGAUAUAUUCCUAUUAUUUUUUUCUUAUUAAUUAUACUAAUAGCUCUUAAAAUAAUGGUAAAUGGAGUUAAGGAUUAUGUGAGUAUAAAGAUAAAGAACACGCAUCAUAACUACGUUGGAGAAAGUAGUGUUAAAGUACUUACUAUCCAAAUAUUUUUCUAUUUUCAAGCAAAUUAACAAGGCGUCAUAUUAAAAAAAUGUAAACAAAAUACUUGAAUGCUAGAAAAUACAAAUUGUGCAUAUAUUCACCUCACCCUACAAGUAUCUCAAGACUACAUACACUUAUUAUCUAAAGGGAGGAUCCAAAUAUGCUAGAUAUUCACCACCAAUAAAUACUAGUAGUAUGCAUCUAACUUCUAAAAAUUUGUGUUUGCUUAGGUUUUUGUUUAAACAAACCUAACCAAAAACAAACUUUUAGUAAUGAAUUUAGCUAAAUGAACUUAUAUGUUUAUCUGCCGAAUCCUCUAGAAAGAAAUAUGAAAUGUGGUUUUGUACCAAAUAAAAUUAGUGUUUGUGGGGACUUAGGUAUUUAUUUGAUUUGAUGGUACAAGUACUGAUUCAAGAAUGCUAAGCCACAAAUUAUUCAAGUCGGCCAACUUAUUCUUGAUUCCCUCGACCAAAAGGGCAUUCUAGUAUCGAAAUUGACUCUUUUUCACUUGUUUAUUGUCGUGAUCACUAUACUAUACCUAAUUUUCUGGUAACUGUAUAAUCGUUCCUUGUCUCUUAAUUCGAGUCACGACAAGAUUAGAUGAGUAACUAUUGUUGAUCAUAUUGAAAAAAUUGGUAUAUAACGUUAUUUGUAUCCAUUAGAUGGUCAUAUCCUAUUAUCCAUAUUAGUCUUUGGUUAUUGCAUUUAAGAUGUUGGUGUCAAUGUCAUCCAUGAUGUAUAUAUGUGAUUUUUUUACAACUCAUUGUUACUAUGUACGUUCUUGAUAGUAACUUCUAUAAAAAGCCCUAAACAGAUUUCACAGUCUCGAAUUAUAACCAAACAAUCACACACCAUUGGAAUUAAAACAUCCAGCUCAUUCAUUGCUUCAAGUCUCUCUAUAUCCAAUUCUGUGAUUAAUCGCAUUCCCAUAACUUAGGAAAAAUUAACCAUAUAUAUGAGAUGGGAUUCAACAGGUGCAAAAUUAGACGAAAGCAAGCCCGACUAAAUCAAGAUGAGAGAAAGUUCCAAGAGAAAAGGGAGAGAGCUACCUUGAGAGUUUGUGCUGCCAUAUCAUACCUAUGGAGAAGAGCUAAAGCAUUGAACGGACAUCACGGCCAAGCCCGGGAGACGAGAACCGGUCUUCAAGUGAUGGUAGUGGAUCCACACUUCUCUAUUCCAGUCAUUCCCAUUAAUAAUGCGCCAAUGUAUUAAGAAAGUAGCAAGGUAACCUAGUUUAUAUUUUGAGUUCUCUUCUUGUCAUUUCUUAGUAUUUGAUUAUUAGUGCCGCCGUACAUGUAUUCUAAUGAACAUGUGUUGUAUAGACAUUACAUACCACUAUGAUCUUAAUCUUAAUUAACUAGAGAUCAUUAUAUAA